GCGGUGGUGGCCGAGCGGUCAAGGCGUAGGACUCCCGAUCCUAUUCUGGUAACAGAGCGCGGGUUCGAAUCCCGUCCACCGCA
ensembl:tRNA